UCACACUUACUAGUUCACACUACCAUUUCCUUCCUUUAAUUACCUCUAUAAAUUCCUAGCUUCAUUUCCUACAAAAACUCAACAUACAAAAGAUUCUCUCUCUUUUCAUCUCAACUAUCUAAGUUUCUUCUUGUUUUCUCUAAAAUAAAGCAAAUAUGAACAAAAUUACAGCCCUGUUUUUCAUGGCCCUGUUCCUCCACUGCAUCAUCACCAACUCUGCCCGACCUGAACCAAAACAUGAUCAGGAUGUUGAGGCAGUUGAAAAAAUAUGUGAAGGGAUAGAAGAGGAAGAAUGCUUGAUGAGGAGGACACUUAUUGCUCACACAGACUAUAUUUAUACUCAGAAGCAUAACCCUUGAAACAAUCUUCAAUCGCCUUGUUUAUUUAGAGUAAUUUUUCAGUAUAUAAGGUUAUGGUAUCUAGUUUAUUUGAACCAACCUUCUAGUGGAUCUCUACUUACUUUUCUGCUUUUGUGUAACAUAUUUAUAUGUUAUAAAAUAUUAAAAUCUAAACUGUUAUAUUUGUAUCUUUUGAUAGAGAAAUGUUAUUUAGACACAUUUUUUAGACAAAAAUACAACAUCUAUGGAUAAUUAUGUCAUUUCCUUGAUAAAAAAGUACAAGUUGGUAGAGAAGAAAUAAUGAUGGUUGAAGAGAGAAUGAUAUGAAAUGACAAAAUUGUCCCUGUAGGUUGUAUUUUUGUCUCAAAAAGUGUGUAUGGAUAACAUUUCUCCUUUUGAUAUAUAUAUAGUGUGUUUACUUUAUGCUAUA